CCUGCCGCAUUUCCUCGUUCUGAGUCACCCUUGCUCAGAACGCUUGACUUUGGGACUUCCUGUCCGCACUCGCGGCCCCUAACCUGCCCCGGGAGCCCGGGAGUGCGGCUUGGGAAGGAGGAAAAGGAGUGUGUGAGCAGGGAUUGGCCCGAACCUAUCUCCACGCUCUCCCCCGGGACUGGAGGUGAAGGGGGGCGUGGAGAAAAUCUCAGGGAACAGGGGCUUCGACAGGGGGCUCCCGCCCGCCCGAGCCCCCUCCCCAAAAUGCGAGGCCUGCACAGUAUGCCUUCUCCGCAAAACCCCGGCAAGCGGGUUAGUGAAUUCAGGUCACUAAGAAGCUGAGCCCGCGGAAAGCUGCCCAAACACCCCCUUCUCUAGGGGACUCCCCACGCCCCCCGCCGGGACGCGUUCCUGAAGUCGCCGCCUGGACUGCAACCGCGUGGCCUGCGCCGCGUCCUCUUCUCCGCAGCCUCCGAGGCCCGUGCGACCAAGCUGAAACCGCUUAUUCUCCGGAGCCCCUAUGACCCCGGGUGGGGGCCAGGGCUCGCCUCGAUCGCAGCCCGUGCGCCCUCCGGACUCCAGUUCGCCGGGACUGGGCGGCACCAGAAGCGGCUAGUGUGAAUGAAACAAACGGGAAAUUUGCUCUGGCCCGCCUGCCCAGCCACCCACGGCUGCCUGUUGGCCAAUCACCAUUUGACCAGUCCAGGAAGAGCAACUGUGGCAGGCCUGAUUUCCUGGGAGGCCCCAGACUCCCUUUGCCUACCUCUUCCUCUCUGACCCCAUCCUCGCUUUGAUGCCCGGGACAUGCUACCCAGAAACAACGUGAGGCUCAGAGAGAAGAAAUGGCUAAAAUUACACAGCUGGUACAUGGCAGAGGUGGAACUAAAAAGUUAAGUGUGUCUACCCCAGAGCCGAGUAGACCUGCUCUUUUUUGAACACAUCCUGGGCUUUCAUGCCUUUAUCCCAGCUGUGCCCUCUCCCUGGAUGCCCCUUCCAUCUGGGCAGCUCCUACUAGACCUGCCUUGGCAUACAUAACACAGGAGAACGGAUUGCCAAAGGGUAGGAGAGUGCCUGGUCUAUAGUGUGCGCCCAACACAGAUUUGGUGAAUGAAUGAACACUGGGUCCAGCAGACCUGGAUUCUUCCAUGUAACCCACUGUGUGGCCUUCGUGGAGCCAUGCGGGUGCAAUAAUCCUGGUUUCCACCCUUCAGGGCUGCUGCUGGGACUCAGUGAGAUCAUCAUGUAUCUAAUGCCCUUCGCUCAGUGCUGGGCACACAUUGAAUGCGCAUUGAAUCUUAGCUAUUGCUACCUGUACAAUCAAUCAAAAGUCACUUCUGAAGAACAGACGGGGCUCCCCCAGGCCAAAUAAAUAAUUCCUCUCGGGACAAACCCCAGCUCUCACUCCCUCCUCUUUAGGCAGGGGGCUCCCUGAAGGACAGAGGCCCGGUUUUAUUCCAUCUUGCCGUCCCCCAUGGUGCCGGGCAUACAGUGGUGCCCAGUAAACGUGUGUGUUGCACAAACAUGCGGUAACUAGGGCCCCAUCUUUUUCAAAAGAACACACUCCCCAGGUGCAGCCGCAAAGAGAGACUGUUCAGCUGUUCAGGUGAGGUUUUGGGGUGAAACUCGUCUGAAUAAAAGUUUUGCUGAACACAGCCUCACCCCCAACAAGGAGGCAAUUUGAGGUGGGGGUGGGGAGACUUAAAUGUGGGCUCCCGGGUUUUAAAGGGGGUAGCGCGGGAGGAAGCCCCCCAAUAAUUGCGGGGCUUCCCCCACCCCCAGAGCUGGAUUAGAGGCUGCGCCGCUUCCUUUGGGGCUCGCUCGCGCUUCCUGGGAGCCUUUGAUGUGGGUUCUUGGUAAAUCCUGCCCGCGGGGCCUGGAUGCGGGCGGAGCCUCCGGGCAGGGCGGGGCCUCAGCCUGGGGCCGCAUUGGGGAGGCGGCCACCCGGUAGCUUGGGCGGGUUCCGCCCACCUCCCGCCUGUAUUUACAGCCCCCUUCCAACAUCCCCGACUCCCUGAGGGCGCCCCUCAUUCUGCUCGGCCUUGCCUUCCCCAUUCAGCCACAUCCUCCUCUCUCCCAACUCAGCUUCGACCCCCAAAGCCUUUCCCUGACCAUCGGAACCACAGGCUUUUCUCCGGCCUCUGAGUGCCAGUCUUCAACUAGUUGUCUUUUAAAAAAUCAAAAAGCAUCUCAUCCUACGGGAUGUGUGUGAAAAAAUAAAAAUAAAAUAAAGAAAAAGCGGGCCGGGCGCGGGAGCUCA